UUGGGAGGAUCGCUUGGACACCAUUGGGAAAAGCCAUUGAAAAGGUCGUAAGACUGCAGUUCAUUCAGAAGAAAGGAACAGAGCUAAUUAAUCGAGAAAAUGCCUCCUCUUGAUACUGAUGUACUGAACUAUUGCAGUCUACAGAUCUACAGCCGACUUGCGGAAAUUAUUGGCCUUGCACCAAAGAUUGAACCAGGACCUUGUGCACGAUAACCAAGCACGUUACCACAACUCAUUCCCCACCCCGCUGCUGCAACAAAUUUAAUGGCAGAAUGGAAAUUGUACUGGCGUCACUGGGUGGGGGAGUGGGGGCCUGCGGGCGCCCUGCGCUCUACCUGGGUUUGGGGCAGGUGCGGUUUGCCCUGUGCAGGACUGGGGCAGGCAGGAGUCGGGCCUGGUCUCAGCUUAAGGUGACAGCGCGUUUUCCUGUCCCGAACUUGGCAGUCCGCACGGCGCGCUCUCAGGAGGAGGUUCGAGCACAGAACGGGCCCGGGAGCCACACUGGCCAGGCAGGCUCUGGGCUGAGGCCGACGCACACCUUCCCUGUCCCCACACGCGGUGCCAGAGCAACAGCACCGGCGCCUUUCAGCCCCCUAGCGGGCACGUCGCUUAGGCCCACCUCAGCGCAGCGUUGAGCUUUGUGGACGCUGAGGUUUGGAUUUCCAUUUUAGUUCAUAAACAGUUUUGAGGUCUCACUGUAUCUUGGAGGGCGGGUGAUGAGUGACGAAUGGAGAAGGUGGAUGUGCAGCAGGCUUGCUCAGUGCUCCAAGGGGCUCCCAAGGCUCCGUCCAGCUCGGUGACCGCUGUCACACACCAGAGGCCCUGGGGUUGCCUUAGAACUGUGACAUUGCAAGUGUACUGCUUUCCCUGAUGGAAGAAAGAGCCUUUCUGGGGUUUUGUUUUAUUUUAUUUUCUCUUAACCUCCCCAAACCUGGAAGCUGAGCAGGAGAGGCACAGCAGCCCCACCUGGUUCCACCCUAACCGUGGGGGGCGGGGGGGGGGUUGACUUACUGUCCAACUUUAGGAAAUUAUAAACUAUUAAGAUGUAUAAAAUUAUAUUUUCAAAAUCUGUUUAGUGAUAUAGAAAAAGGAACACAUUUCUAAGUUAAGAAACAGGUCAGAAAACAAAUUUUAUGGAUGUAUUUUGCAUUUGCUUAGAUAAAUGAAUCAAAUACAUGAAAGUAUUUAUAGUGGGUAUCACUGGAUGUUAUGGCUUGUGUCUUGCUGUCCCCCAAAGCCUCAUGCAGUCACAGGUGGGACUUUUUCUGGAAUUGAUUCAUGGUGCAAUUCUAGGUUCAAGGGCACUAGGAUUAAGGGUGUGAGUGCUACUUGCCCUAAGUAGUCUGCAUAAGAUAAAAGGGCCAGAAAGACGCUGUUAAGGCCUCUGUCCUUUUGCUAACUUGUGGCCACCAUGAACUGAGAUACCCCUCUGCCACCCUGCCUUGGAGCCAGCCAAUUAUGGUCAGAAACCUCUACAAACUGUGAGCUGAAUAAACCUUUCCUCUCUUUAACUUUGGGUGUCAGGUAUUUUGUCUCAGCAAUGAGAAAAAAGUAACUAAGACACUAGACAAUGAGAUUAAGGUGGAUUCUAUUGUCUUCUCUAUCCUUUCUUCAUUAUGCAAAUGUUGAAAUACACAAAACACAUUCUUCUGUAAUAAUAGAAAAAGUAGAAAAUGAUUUUGGAUUAAUAAAAACAUCCUCUCCAAAAUUUGGGGGUUCAUUUGUGCUGAGUUCUUUCUAUCUAUCUAUCUAUCCAUCUAUCAUCAUCUAUCUAUUUAUUUUGAGACAGCGUCCCUUGCUAUGUAGUUUAGGGUGGUCUUUAACUCACCAUAUAACCCAGGCUAACCUUGAAUUUAUGGUGAUCCUCCUUCUUCAGCCUCCAGAGUGCUGAGAUUACAGGUGUGUGCCACCGUGCCUAGUUUGAGCUCAGUUCUUUUAAAGCAGGGAGUUUUAUCUUUUCCAUUCUUACCUUGUAGCUUGUCUCUAUAUUCUAAAAUAUAUAUGACAUUUUCUUAAAGCUAUCUUUCCUUCCUGCUCUCUGGUUGUCUGUGCAACGUCUAUCUUUACCCUCUCACAUGACUUUCUAAACAAGUUUGCCCCACGUUCUCUUUUGUUUGGUUAAUAGACCUUGUGGCAAUAAAUGGCUGCUGGCUGGCUUGCUUAGUAGAUGAAGUAUGUUCCUCACAGAGAGAGCACAUAUAACUUUUCAUUAACAUGAUUCCUUACCUCUACAAAUGUAAACUUCAUACUGAAUUUUGCUUAAAUACAGGGCCACUUCCAAGUGUUUUAGAGAAAUGAUGCAUUAAAAGGCAUAUUUAACCUAGAAAUUCCACAGUAAAUUUAUAAGCAUGUACCUACCUGUACUAAAAAAAUUCUUUCCUGGCUUGAUAGUUCAUACUUAUUCAAAUUAACAUGGAAGUUAAAUUCAGCCAGAUAAAUCCUUCUUGUCAUCCAUAUUGGUGCUAGUAAACAUCAUUUCAAAAACAUAGAAGAUGCCUGUGGCUUAGAGAAGGAAUUUUAUCUUCCUAAAAAAGAUAAGACAAGUAAUCAAAAUACUAGAGUCAAGA
rnacentral:lncRNA from 1 species